AAAAUUAAUUUAAAAUUAAAUUUAUUACAAUUUAAUUGUAAAAAUUUAAAAUAACUAAAAUUUUCUUCCAGCUGUUUACUACUUAAUCACCUCACAAACUCGACGGACCAUAAAAGCCAAAUCAAAAUUCUUGGUCAUUAAAUUCGAAAUUUCUGCUAAUCGGGAGCACGCUAGCAACAUAAAACUCAAUUGAAGAGCCAGAUAAUAUUCAUUUGGCACAAAUCACAACCCAAGUAAACUCGCAAGAGCGUUAAGGCAUCAUUGGCAUUUGCUAGCCAAACCAAUAUCGGCGCCACCACAUAUCCAAAUUGACGUGGAGGAAGAGAAAAAACCCAAACAAGAACGACAAUCAAUUUAGAAGAGGAUGAAAAUCUAACAUACCGUAAUGAUAUACAAUGCCGCUAAUGAAGAACGAAGAUCAAAGUUGAGGUUUAAUAUAACCACGCAAAACUGUGUUUAAUAACGGAUAAACAAGGUUCACAUUUGGACAACCUCGCCACCCCUACUUCCCUCAACUGUGCAUGCAGGAAGACUGAGAAGACCGCUUCAACACCUUUGCAUUAGCACCAAGAGGUUCUGCUACAGUUGACACCUAGUAAAAACCAUCCUUUAGUUGCCAAAACGGCCUCUUGCCCAUGGCACCCUUGGCCGAACACCAUUGACAUUGCGCUGCACAGCAUUGUUCUUCCGUGUCAAGAUCCUCAUCCUCUCCUCUUUCAUGUUGGCAAACCGUGAAUCCAGUGUUUGAGGCCUUGGCUUAGCCCCUGCAUCCCCUUGUUGUUGUUGCAGCUGCUGCCGCUGUGGUGACUGCUCAGCAAGACAAAUCAAGUCAACGUCCUCUUGCUGCUCAAACAGCAAGCUAAAGCAACACUUUGCUGUUGCCAUCACACAUAUUACUAAAUCAUCAAGAGUAAAAGGAAAGUGUCAUAGCAUCUAGUGUACAGUUUUAACUGUACUUCAUGAAAAAAAUUAGUCAGAUCAAUCUACAAAUUCAAUUUCAAUUGCAUUGCCUGUAACAGACAAAAUAUAGUAUAGAAAAAUAGAUCAUAAACAAAGUCCACCACAAGUAUCAGAUAGAAGCACACCUUCGCAGCCAAGCCUCCAUUUGCUGCCCUCCUCUGAACCGUAAAAGCUCCUGUCCUUGCUUUGUCUGAAUUUGCCAACCCAUUACGAACAAAAGGCCUACUGCGAAAAGAAGCAACUGCAGCCUUCCUUGCAAACUCAGUUGUUACAGGAAAUUGGUUCCCUUGGAAAUUUGACCUUCUUUGAGCUAAAGCCCCCUGUCGAACAAAUGGUCGUGAAUUCAUAUAGCGCUGCACCUUCACAGAUUUCUGUUGUGCAGCAUUGUUAAAAACUAUCUGACUUUUAUUCGGAGGCCUUUGCUGCUUCUUAACCUUAGUUGUAUUUUUAGACAUUUUGAUGAUGUCAUCUAAAGGCAUAUCAAGUUUCUUUUCUGUAUUAGCAAUUUCCUCACGACUGAGUGGUUUAGUGGCCAUAGAUUCCAACGAGGUGGUUUAUGGAAAAGGGGAAAUUGAAAACUUUUUAGGGUUAAGGACUACAAAAGCGUAGUAGUUUCGAGCCGACGAAGGAGAUGCUUCCCUCAAAGAGGCGACGGGAAUAUACGAGCGAUAAAAGAAAGCGAGAGGAAAUUGUACGCAACUGCAAGGCUACGCUACGCGGAUCUAAACUUGCAAUGUACAAAUAAGUUAUUAAACCGUCUCAAUUUAGAUUUCAAGUCCGCCUGGAAAUUCCGGAAUUUUUUGCUUAACCUCGUUGUGCCGAUGCAAUAAUUUUCACUGGGUGGUAAUCACGUGCAGAAUUGUAUCGGAAAGGUAUAAGAUCAUUGCCUCUCAACCUCUG
rnacentral:misc_RNA from 1 species